CCUACGGGAGGCAGCAGUGGGGAAUAUUGGACAAUGGGCGAAAGCCUGAUCCAGCCAUGCCGCGUGUGUGAAGAGGGUCUUCGGAUUGUAAAGCACUUUAAGUUGGGAGGAAGGGCAGUAAGCUAAUACCUUGCUGUUUUGACGUUACCGACAGAAUAAGCACCGGCUAACUUCGUGCCAGCAGCCGCGGUAAU
rnacentral:rRNA from 1 species